AACGAACGCUGGCGGCAUGCCUAACACAUGCAAGUCGAACGAAGCCUUCGGGCUUAGUGGCGCACGGGUGCGUAACGCGUGGGAAUCUGCCCUUGGGUUCGGAAUAACAGUUAGAAAUGACUGCUAAUACCGGAUGAUGUCUUCGGACCAAAAAUUUAUCGCCCAAGGAUGAGCCCGCGUAGGAUUAGGUAAUUGGUGGGGUAAUGGCCCACCAAGCCGACGAUCCUUAGCUGGUCUGAGAGGAUGAUCAGCCACAAUGGGACUGAGACACGGCCCAGACUCCUACGGGAGGCAGCAGUGGGGAAUAUUGGACAAUGGGCGAAAGCCUUAUCCAGCAAUGCCGCGUGAGUGAUGAAGGCCUUAGGGUUGUAAAGCUCUUUUACCAGGGAUGAUAACGACAGUACCUGGAGAAUAAGCUCCGGCUAACUCCGUGCCAGCCGCCGCGGUAA
rnacentral:rRNA from 1 species